GAACAUUCCAUCAUAGAUAGUCUAAACUAUACCUUUUUAGAAUUGUUAUGAUCAGACAAAUGUAGUGCAGUUUUCAACAUAAUUGGAGAAUUUUUAAAUUUUGAUCCCUGUGUAAUCCUUUAUUGACCACUACCUGACUACAGUUGCCACCCUGGGAUUGCUAUACAUUUUUAUGUCGGCCAUGGUACACUGAGGCUGGAUUCUAAGUGACGUUUCGUCACCUUAAGUGGUACUUAGGUCAAAAUUGUUGACUGGCUCGUGGACUGUCUAUGCUAUCAGGGCUGAACUUCUUCAGGUGGGAUCUGUGCUUCCAUUUUGGAGAUAGUUAUCAUCCCAUGAGACUGCAAGGAAAGACUUGCU